AUUGAACGCUGACGGCAGGCCUAACACAUGCAAGUCGAGCGAGCGGCGGACGGGUGAGUAAUGUAUGGGGCCUGCCCGUUAGAGGGGGAUAACUACUGGAACCGGUAGCUCAUACCGCAUACUAUCGGAUAACCCCUAAUGGAUUAGCUAGUUGGUGAGGGAAUGGCUCACCAAGGCGACGAUCCCUAGCUGGUCUGAGAGGAUGAUCAGCGACACUGGGACUGAGACACGGCCCAGACUCCGACGGAGGCAGCAGUGGGGAAUAUUGCACAAUGGGCGCAAGCCUGAUGCAGCCAUGCCGCGUGUAGGAAGAAGGCCCUAGGGGUGUAAAGUACUUUCAGGCGGGAGGCGUUACCGACAGAAGAAGCACCGGCUAACUCCGUGCCAGCAGCCGCGGUAAUUC
rnacentral:rRNA from 1 species